rnacentral:lncRNA from 1 species
UAAAAUGGGUAUUCAGAUUUCACGGCCAGAGCCGGUGAAGCCGACGGUGGUCCUUAUUGCAGCGGCAGAAAAUCUCGGCUAAGACGAAGAGUGAAGACAGAGUUAGGUCUUUCUUUUUUCCCACCACAGAGUUAAGGUUUAUUUACGGUGUGUUUCCCCCCGAUUUUACAAUAAUAGCCUUUUAUAUCUUUUAAAUAAAUUUACAUAGUUAAAAAC